UUCAAACUUAACAUAGAUAUUGUGCAAACAUCUUCAUGUUUUCCAAACUAAAAACCUGGACCCAAGUCCUUGACUUUUUUCAAACUUCAUUUCAUAAUACUCAUUUGAAUUAAUCUUAAUCAUACUUUGACUCCAUUUUCAUAAUCACAAUCAAUUAACUUCACCCAUUCACUUGUUUUGGCUUUGUCCAUUGUUAAUCUUUUCACACAUUAGCCAUAGGUUUCAAUUAUCAUUGUGGUUGAUGUAAACCUCACCUUAUCUUUAGUGAGUCGACUAUAAGACUUCCGUACUGAAAACAGGGU
rnacentral:lncRNA from 1 species